rnacentral:rRNA from 1 species
CUUAGAGUUUGAUCCUGGCUCAGGAUGAACGCUAGCUACAGGCUUAACACAUGCAAGUCGAGGGGAAACGACAUCGAAAGCUUGCUUUUGAUGGGCGUCGACCGGCGCACGGGUGAGUAACGCGUAUCCAACCUGCCCACCACUUGGGGAUAACCUUGCGAAAGUAAGACUAAUACCCAAUGAUAUCUCUAGAAGACAUCUGAAAGGGAUUAAAGAUUUAUCGGUGAUGGAUGGGGAUGCGUCUGAUUAGCUUGUUGGCGGGGUAACGGCCCACCAAGGCGACGAUCAGUAGGGGUUCUGAGAGGAAGGUCCCCCACAUUGGAACUGAGACACGGUCCAAACUCCUACGGGAGGCAGCAGUGAGGAAUAUUGGUCAAUGGGCGAGAGCCUGAACCAGCCAAGUAGCGUGCAGGAUGACGGCCCUAUGGGUUGUAAACUGCUUUUAUAAGGGAAUAAAGUGAGUCUCGUGAGACUUUUUGCAUGUACCUUAUGAAUAAGGACCGGCUAAUUCCGUGCCAGCAGCCGCGGUAAUACGGAAGGUCCGGGCGUUAUCCGGAUUUAUUGGGUUUAAAGGGAGCGUAGGCCGGAGAUUAAGCGUGUUGUGAAAUGUAGAUGCUCAACAUCUGCACUGCAGCGCGAACUGGUUUCCUUGAGUACGCACAAAGUGGGCGGAAUUCGUGGUGUAGCGGUGAAAUGCUUAGAUAUCACGAAGAACUCCGAUUGCGAAGGCAGCUCACUGGAGCGCAACUGACGCUGAAGCUCGAAAGUGCGGGUAUCGAACAGGAUUAGAUACCCUGGUAGUCCGCACGGUAAACGAUGGAUGCCCGCUGUUGGUCUGAAUAGGUCAGCGGCCAAGCGAAAGCAUUAAGCAUCCCACCUGGGGAGUACGCCGGCAACGGUGAAACUC